rnacentral:lncRNA from 1 species
GGCUCAUUCUGCCUCUCAUCUCUGCUCCUGCAUCCUAAACUGCUGAGCACAGGCAUGUGAGAAGGCUACUACUGGCUUGAAUUUCUGCCUCUUGAAUGCCCCAUUCCAGAUGAGCAGUGAAGUAGCCAGGUGACCACAAUUCCCUCUAAAUCCACAAACUGUUAAUAGAAUAUUCACAUAAAGGGCCCCACAAUGUGGAAGAAACUGCU